rnacentral:rRNA from 1 species
GACGAAGGUGGCAAGCGUUGUUCGGAAUCACUGGGCUUAAAGCGCACGUAGGCGGCUGAUCAAGUGCCUUGUGAAAUCCCUCGGCCCAACCGAGGAAUUGCUUGGUAGACUGAUCGGCUUGAGGCAGGUAGGGGCGAGUGGAACUCUUGGUGGAGCGGUGAAAUGCGUAGAUAUCAAGAGGAACGCCGGUGGUGAAGACGACUCGCUGGGCCUGUCCUGACGCUGAGGUGCGAAAGCCAGGGGAG